rnacentral:rRNA from 1 species
AGAGUUUGAUUCUGGCUCAGAACGAACGCUGGCGGCAGGCCUAACACAUGCAAGUCGAGCGCGCCCUUCGGGGUGAGCGGCGGACGGGUUAGUAACGCGUGGGAACGUACCCUUUGGUAGGGAAUAGCCACUGGAAACGGUGAGUAAUACCCUAUGAGCCCUUCGGGGGAAAGAUUUAUCGCCAAAGGAUCGGCCCGCGUUAGAUUAGGUAGUUGGUGGGGUAAUGGCCUACCAAGCCUACGAUCUAUAGCUGGUUUUAGAGGAUGAUCAGCAACACUGGGACUGAGACACGGCCCAGACUCCUACGGGAGGCAGCAGUGGGGAAUCUUGGACAAUGGGGGCAACCCUGAAUCCAGCCAUGCCGCGUGAGUGAAGAAGGCCUUAGGGUCGUAAAGCUCUUUCGCCUGUGAAGAUAAUGACGGUAGCAGGUAAAGAAACCCCGGCUAACUCCGUGCCAGCAGCCGC